rnacentral:rRNA from 1 species
AUUGAACGCUGGCGGCAGGCCUAACACAUGCAAGUCGAGCGGAGCGGCGGACGGGUGAGUAAUGCCUGGGAAUCUGCCUGGUCGUGGGGGAUCACGUCCGGAAACGGGCGCUAAUACCGCAUACUAUCAGAUGAGCCUAGGUCGGAUUAGCUAGUUGGUGGGUUAAAGGCCUACCAAGGCGACGAUCCGUACCUGGUCUGAGAGGAUGAUCAGUCAAACGGGAACGGAGACACGGCCGAGACGCCGACGGUGAGAAGCAGUGGGGAAUAUUGCGAAAGGGGGGAAUGCCUGACGCAGCCAUGCGGAGUGAAGGAAGAAGGCCUGCGGGUUGUAAAGUUCUUUCGGUAGCGAGGCGUUAACUACAGAAGAAGCACCGGCUAACUCCGUGCCAGCCGCCGCGGUAAUAC